AAAAAAAUAUAAAAAAAAAAAUAAGGAAGAAGGUUAUGUCUAGAAGUCUUAGAGAUUAAUUUUGAAAAUAUAUCAUUCUUGUAUGGGUCUUAGUGGUUGUCAAGAAGAGCUACGAACAGAACUUAUCUGAUACGAGUUGGAGGAGGUCGGGGUUGUUCAUAUGCUCGAGCUAGUGUGUCAUUUGGUUGACUGCGAUCGACCUUGGUUGUAGGUCAGCUCCGCCUUAGGUUUGGAGGCUAGCUAUAAGGCUUGGUCGUCGUGAAGCUACUUCUUUAUAUUUAAGGGUUGCUCUUAAAUCUUUAUUGAUGCUUGUUGAGCUCACUUGGUUAGUCAAGCUCAUCUGGCUUGUUAAGUUUCCAAGGAGUCUGUGACAUGCAGAAUCUAGUCUACAUGCACAGCCAGCUUAGGCACAAAGGAGGGGGUCAUCAGUUGGUAGUCCAUAAAGUUUAAAAUUCUACAAUAUUGCCAUGAUCAUAAUGUUAUUAUGUUGCAUGGGUUUUUCCUACUAUAAUAAUAAAAUGCCAAAAUGAUCAUGAAAUUACAAGAAUGAAAUUGAGCAUCUGUUGUGUGAAAUCCCAACAUUAUUUACACACACUUGACACUUAGCAAUCGUUGUACACCUUUUGUUGGAACUUGUAAAAUGACUAUUACUUCAUUAAUGACAAAUAGCUUGUUGUACUUUUGUUCUAUUCUCGCACUACACCAGAGGUUUCAUU
rnacentral:misc_RNA from 1 species